GAUGAACGCUGGCGGCGUGCCUAAUACAUGCAAGUCGAGCGAACAGACGCGGAGCUUGCUCCUCUCACGUUCGCGGCGCACGUGUGUGUCACACGUGGAUACCCUCCCUAUCAUACUGGUAUAACUUCGAGAAACCGGCGCUUAUACCGUAUAAUAUCUUGAACCGCAUGGUUCAAUAGUAAAAGACGGUUUUGCUGUCACUUCUAGAUGCAUCUGGGCCGCAUUAGCUAGUUGGUAAGGUAACGGCUUACGAAGGCAACGAUGCGUAGCCGACCGGAGAGGGUGAUAGGCCACACUGGAGCUGAGACAGGGUCCAGACUCCUACGGGAGGCAGCAGUAGGGAAUCUUACGCAAUGGGCGAGAGCCUGACGGAGCAACGCGGCGUGAGUGAUGAAGGUCUUCGGAUCGUGAAACUCUGUUAUUAGGGAAGAACAAAUGUGUAAGUAACUAUGCACGUCUUGACGGUACCGGAUCAGAAAGCCACGGCUAACUACGUG
rnacentral:rRNA from 1 species